rnacentral:rRNA from 1 species
UACGUAGGGGGCAAGCGUUGUCCGGAAUCAUUGGGCGUAAAGAGCGCGUAGGCGGCCCAGUAAGUCCGCUCUGAAAGUCAGGGGCUCAACCCCUGGAUGCGGGUGGAUACUGCUGGGCUAGAGUCCGGAAGAGGUGAGUGGAAUUCCUGGUGUAGCGGUGAAAGUGCGCAGAUAUCAGGAGGAACACCGAUGGCGAAGGCGGUCUCUGGGCAUUAACUGACGCUGAGGAGCGAAAGCAUGGGGAGCGAACAGG